rnacentral:rRNA from 1 species
UACGUGGGGGGCGAGCGUUGUCCGGAAUUAUUGGGCGUAAAGAGCUCGUAGGCGGUUAGUCGCGUCUGCUGUGAAAACUCGGGGCUUAACUCCGGGCCUGCAGUGGGUACGGGCUGACUAGAGUGCGGUAGGGGAGACUGGAAUUCCUGGUGUAGCGGUGAAAUGCGCAGAUAUCAGGAGGAACACCGGUGGCGAAAGCGGGUCUCUGAACCGUAACUGACGCUGAGGAGCGAAAGCGUGGGGAGCGAACAGG